GUUCACUUUGGCAGCACGUAUACUAAAACUGGAACAAUACAGAGAAGAUUAGCAUGGCCCCUGAGCAAGGAUGGCAUGCAAAUUUGUGAAGUGUUCCAUAUUAAA
rfam:Fukomys damarensis contig156806, whole genome shotgun sequence.